rnacentral:tRNA from 1 species
GCCGAGGUAGCUCAGUUGGUUAGAGCGUCCGCCUGAAGAGCGGUAGGUCGGCGGUUCGAAUCCGCCCCUCGGCA